rnacentral:tRNA from 1 species
GGGUAUAGCUCAAGUGGUAGAGCAGAUGCCUCGCACACACAAGGUCCUGGGUUCAAUCCCCAGUACUACCU